rnacentral:lncRNA from 1 species
GACGGGAGCAAAUCUGCUCAUCCCUAGGCAGAUAGGGCGAGAGGAAAAAUGGCCAUUUUGAGAAAAUGGAGAAGAUUGAUGCAGUAUGUUUGUGUCUUGUUUUGUCUCAGUGUAUUGUAUUGUCUUUGUGACGAAAAUAUGGAAGGGGUGAGAAGUAAAUUACUAAGGGAAGAAGGCACCCCAGUGGAACCAAGAAUAGUUAGGGCAUGUGUUGACGGAAG